UACGUAGGGACCGAGCGUUGUUCGGAAUUACUGGGCGUAAAGGGCUCGUAGGCGGCCAACUAAGUCGGAUGUGAAAUCCCCAGGCUUAACCUGGGAACUGCAUCCGAUACUGGAUGGCUUGAAUCCGGGAGAGGGAUGCAGAAUUCCAGGUGUAGCGGUGAAAUGCGUAGAUAUCUGGAGGAAUACCGGUGGCGAAGGCGGCAUCCUGGACCGGCAUUGACGCUGAGGAGCGAAAGCUAGGGGAGCAAACGGG
rnacentral:rRNA from 1 species